CAAAGAAUAGUCUAAGUUAGGAUCCUAG
rnacentral:tRNA from 1 species